rnacentral:tRNA from 1 species
GGGCUUGUGGUCUAGUGGCUAUGACAGUGCCCUUACAAGGCAUUGAUCCCCGGUUCGAGGUACUUGCAGAGAAUCAAGAUUCUCUGUUUGCACGAUUAUCCGGGCAGGCCCA